GAUGAACGCUGGCGGCGUGCCUAAUACAUGCAAGUCGAGCGAACGGACGAGAAGCUUGCUUCUCUGAUGUUAGCGGCGGACGGGUGAGUAACACGUGGAUAACCUACCUAUAAGACUGGGAUAACUUCGGGAAACCGGAGCUAAUACCGGAUAAUAUUUUGAACCGCAUGGUUCAAAAGUGGAAGACGGUCUUGCUGUCACUUAUAGAUGGAUCCGCGCUGCAUUAGCUAGUUGGUAAGGUAACGGCUUACCAAGGCAACGAUGCAUAGCCGACCUGAGAGGGUGAUCGGCCACACUGGAACUUAGACACGGUCCAGACUCCUACGGGAGGCAGCAGUAGGGAAUCUUCCGCAAUGGGCGAAAGCCUGACGGAGCAACGCCGCGUGAGUGAUGAAGGUCUUCGGAUCGUAAAACUCUGUUAUUAGGGAAGAACAUAUGUGUAAGUAACUGUGCACAUCUUGACGGUACCUAAUCAGAAAGCCACGGCUAACUACGUG
rnacentral:rRNA from 1 species